rnacentral:rRNA from 1 species
AACGAACGCUGGCGGCAUGCCUAACACAUGCAAGUCGAACGAGACCUUCGGGUCUAGUGGCGCACGGGUGCGUAACGCGUGGGAACCUGCCCUUAGGUUCGGAAUAACUCCCCGAAAGGGGUGCUAAUACCGGAUAAUGUCUUCGGACCAAAGAUUUAUCGCCUUUGGAUGGGCCCGCGUUGGAUUAGCUAGUUGGUAGGGUAAAAGCCUACCAAGGCGACGAUCCAUAGCUGGUCUGAGAGGAUGAUCAGCCACACUGGGACUGAGACACGGCCCAGACUCCUACGGGAGGCAGCAGUGGGGAAUAUUGGACAAUGCGCGAAUGCCUGAUCCAGCAAUGCCGCGUGAGUGAUGAAGGCCUUAGGGUUGUAAGGCUCUUUUACCCGGGAUGAUAAUGACAGUACCGAGAGAAUAAGCUCCGGCUAACUCCGUG